rnacentral:rRNA from 1 species
AGUGAACGCUGGCGGUAGGCCUAACACAUGCAAGUCGAACGGCAGCACAGUAAGAGCUUGCUCUUACGGGUGGCGAGUGGCGGACGGGUGAGGAAUACAUCGGAAUCUACUUUUUCGUGGGGGAUAACGUAGGGAAACUUACGCUAAUACCGCAUACGACCUACGGGUGAAAGCAGGGGAUCUUCGGACCUUGCGCGAUUGAAUGAGCCGAUGUCGGAUUAGCUAGUUGGCGGGGUAAAGGCCCACCAAGGCGACGAUCCGUAGCUGGUCUGAGAGGAUGAUCAGCCACACUGGAACUGAGACACGGUCCGGACUCCUACGGGAGGCAGCAGUGGGGAAUAUUGGACAAUGGGCGCAAGCCUGAUCCAGCCAUACCGCGUGGGUGAAGAAGGCCUUCGGGUUGUAAAGCCCUUUUGUUGGGAAAGAAGAGCAGCAGGUUAAUACCCCGCUGUUCUGACGGUACCCAAAGAAUAAGCACCGGCUAACUUCGUG